GGAGCAGACAAUUCAUUUCCUGUCAUGGGAUACUGUCCUUAUGCAGCUUGUUAUAUAAUGUGUAUGGUGGUGACUGUGAGGGCAUCGGCGCCAUGCAGGCAUUGGCACACAGCGGCCACCUGGCAGCUGCCCUGUUCAGGCCCCUGAAGAACAGGCAGUGACAGGAGGGAAGGGGCGAGAAGGAGCAGCUUGCUGGGUAAGCUGCAGAACCAAACACCAGCUUAUUCUGAAGCACAUCUCUGGGUUUUACUUCAUUGUCAAUAAAGUUUCCUGUUAGAGUUACAGAGGUCCCUUUCAUUUUCAAACAGCGAUUCAAAUAACAAGAGAAAGUGACAUAACUGUUCAUGGCUCUCUGAAUCCCACAAAUCGCCAUGAGGAACACAUGUGUUAAUGUGCCAGAUAUGGUACCAUGGGAGGAUUAAAAAAUCAGGGGCCCCUGGGCAUGAACCCCACCCCCCAGGUAACUGAAGGAACUUUAGGGGCCCCUAAACACGGAGCCUUAAUAAUUAAUUAGAGUUUUAACUGGGGUAAAUUUAAAUUUGGCUUUGAAAAUGUAUGUAAAAUAAAAAUGUUCUAAAAUAUUCAUCUCCAGUUAAACUACAAAAAGUCUUAUUUUUAAAGCUGAUUCAGACUUUUCAUUAGUGAAAGAUUCAAGAUAAAAACCACAACAUCCAAAGUCAAUCUGAGUGCUGUAAACAUUAAACUUGCAGCUCAAAGCAGUCACACCAAUACCAAAAAGUGCGGAGGGACAAAUGCUACUGCGGCAAAGCUGUGAUAGCGUCUGCUGGCCUGAAGGGGGAGACAGCAGAGCUAAAACCCACAGGCCCAGCUGCUGGGGGAGAAGCUCAGAAGGAUGGAGGUGAAUGAUGCCUUGACAGACUGGAAAACGGAGCUCCUAUGCAGCCCUCAGGGAGUCCGCCUCUGGCCACAUGUCACAGGCAGUACUGAGUAGCACAGAGCACCCCAAGUGACUGUGCAAUUGUCAUUCCUGUUCACUCUCUACAGCACCGACUUCCGGAACAACACCAGCCUUUGCCACCUACAGAAAUUCUCAGAUGAUUCUGCAACUGUGGGGUGCAUCAGUGAGGAGAAGGAAAAGGAGUACAGAGGUCUAAUGGAGAGCUGUGUCGUAUGGCAUAAGGAGAACCACAUACAAGCCAAUGUCAAGAAGACUGGGUGGAAGGUCUUCAGGUGAACCAGUCAACUACUGGCACCUGCCCCCACCAAUGGGGCAAGUCUAGAGAUGGUUCACAGUGACAUGUAGCUGGGAGUCACCAUCCAUGGGGGAGUGUAGAGAUGGUCCACAGUGACAUGUAGCUGGGAUUCACCAUCCAUGGGGAGAGUGUAAAGAUGGUCCACAGUGACAAGUAGCUGGGAUUCACCAUCCAUGGGGAGAGUGUAGAGAUGGUCCACAGUGACAAGUAGCUGGGAUUCACCAUCCAUGGGGAGAGUGUAGAGAUGGUCCACAGUGACAUGUAGCUGGGAGUCACCAUCCAUGGGGGAGUGUAGAGAUGGUCCACAGUGACAUGUAGCUGGGAUUCACCAUCCAUGGGGAGAGUGUAGAGAUGGUCCACGGUGACAUGUAGCUGGGAUUCACCAUCCAUGGGGAGAGUGUAGAGAUGGUCCACAGUGACAUGUAGCUGGGAGUCACCAUCCAUGGAGAGAGUGUAGAGAUGGUCCACAGUGAUAUGUAGCUGGGAGUCACCAUCCAUGGGGAGAGUGUAGAGAUGGUCCACAGUGACAUGUAGCCUGGAGUCACCAUCCACGGGUGUGGGUAGACAUGGUCCACAGUGACAUGUAGCUGGGAUUCACCAUCCAUGGGGAGAGUGUAGAGAUGGUCCACAGUGACAUGUAGCUGGGAUUCACCAUCCAUGGGGAGAGUGUAGAGAUGGUCCACAGUGACAUGUAGCCUGGAGUCACCAUCCACGGGUGUGGGUAGACAUGGUCCACAGUAACAUGUAGUGGGGAAUAACCAUCCAGGGGGAGAGUGUAGAGAUGGUCCAUACUGACAUGUAGCUGGUCCAUGUAGAGAUGGUCGUAUUAUAAUUCAACUUAUUGUCUUUUAUAGCAUAGUGCAAGAAAGUUACAAUCUUAAUGUCAUUGUAAUGUGCUGUGUCAAUGGUACUUGGGCAAUUGAAAUAGAGAUAUUCAUUCAUUUUACAUAGCAAUGUAUUUUUUUACAUGUAUUUCUUUCCAAAUGUAUUAUGUUUAUUACUGGUCUUCCUUUACAUACUUAUUGACCUUUUAUACUUACAUUAUAUUUGGGUGUUGUAUUCAGUUUUUUGCUGUGCUACAGGACAAACGCAGGGGUCAUCCAGCCAUUUUCUUUACCCACUUAUCCUGUUUGGGGUUGUGGGGGGUCUGGAGCUUAUCCUGGGAGCUAUAGGUACAAGGCAGGGAAUAACCCAGUAGGGGGCACCAAGCCAUCACAGGGCACACCCACACACUCUUCACAUCUGUGGCCAAUUUGGCAACUCUCAGUCAUCUCAGCAUGUUUCUGGACUGUGUAGGGAAACCAGUGUACCUGGAUGAAAUGCUAUGUUGAAAUGCAAUCAUUCAUUGCAAAUUUCCCACUUGUGGGACUAAUAAAGGAUUACCUUAUCUUA